rnacentral:rRNA from 1 species
AGAGUUUGAUCAUGGCUCAGAUUGAACGCUGGCGGCAGGCCUAACACAUGCAAGUCGAACGGUAACAGGAAACAGCUUGCUGUUUCGCUGACGAGUGGCGGACGGGUGAGUAAUGUCUGGGAAACUGCCUGAUGGAGGGGGAUAACUACUGGAAACGGUAGCUAAUACCGCAUAACGUCGCAAGACCAAAGAGGGGGACCUUCGGGCCUCUUGCCAUCGGAUGUGCCCAGAUGGGAUUAGCUUGUUGGUGGGGUAACGGCUCACCAAGGCGACGAUCCCUAGCUGGUCUGAGAGGAUGACCAGCCACACUGGAACUGAGACACGGUCCAGACUCCUACGGGAGGCAGCAGUGGGGAAUAUUGCACAAUGGGCGCAAGCCUGAUGCAGCCAUGCCGCGUGUAUGAAGAAGGCCUUCGGGUUGUAAAGUACUUUCAGCGGGGAGGAAGGGAGUAAAGUUAAUACCUUUGCUCAUUGACGUUACCCGCAGAAGAAGCACCGGCUAACUCCGUGCCAGCAGCCGCGGUAAUACGGAGGGUGCAAGCGUUAAUCGGAAUUACUGGGCGUAAAGCGCACGCAGGCGGUUUGUUAAGUCAGAUGUGAAAUCCCCGGGCUCAACCUGGGAACUGCAUCUGAUACUGGCAAGCUUGAGUCUCGUAGAGGGGGGUAGAAUUCCAGGUGUAGCGGUGAAAUGCGUAGAGAUCUGGAGGAAUACCGGUGGCGAAGGCCGGCCCCCUGGACGAAGACUGACGCUCAGGUGCGAAAGCGUGGGGAGCAAACAGGAUUAGAUACCCUGGUAGUCCACGCCGUAAACGAUGUCGACUUGGAGGUUGUGCCCUUGAGGCGUGGCUUCCGGAGCUAACGCGUUAAGUCGACCGCCUGGGGAGUACGGCCGCAAGGUUAAAACUCAAAUGAAUUGACGGGGGCCCGCACAAGCGGUGGAGCAUGUGGUUUAAUUCGAUGCAACGCGAAGAACCUUACCUGGUCUUGACAUCCACGGAAGUUUUCAGAGAUGAGAAUGUGCCUUCGGGAACCGUGAGACAGGUGCUGCAUGGCUGUCGUCAGCUCGUGUUGUGAAAUGUUGGGUUAAGUCCCGCAACGAGCGCAACCCUUAUCCUUUGUUGCCAGCGGUCCGGCCGGGAACUCAAAGGAGACUGCCAGUGAUAAACUGGAGGAAGGUGGGGAUGACGUCAAGUCAUCAUGGCCCUUACGACCAGGGCUACACACGUGCUACAAUGGCGCAUACAAAGAGAAGCGACCUCGCGAGAGCAAGCGGACCUCAUAAAGUGCGUCGUAGUCCGGAUUGGAGUCUGCAACUCGACUCCAUGAAGUCGGAAUCGCUAGUAAUCGUGGAUCAGAAUGCCACGGUGAAUACGUUCCCGGGCCUUGUACACACCGCCCGUCACACCAUGGGAGUGGGUUGCAAAAGAAGUAGGUAGCUUAACCUUCGGGAGGGCGCUUACCACUUUGUGAUUCAUGACUGGGGUGAAGUCGUAACAAGGUAACCGUAGGGGAACCUGCGGUUGGAUCACCU